AAUAUUGGACAAUGGGCGCAAGCCUGAUCCAGCCAUGCCGCGUGUGUGAAGAAGGUCUUCGGAUUGUAAAGCACUUUAAGUUGGGAGGAAGGGCAGUAGGUUAAUACCUUGCUGGUUUGACGUUACCAACAGAAUAAGCACCGGCUAACUCCGUCCCAGCAGCCGCGGUAAUCCGGAGGGUGCAAGCGUUAAUCGGAAUUACUGGGCGUAAAGUGGGGGUAGGUGGUUUAGUAAGGUGGGAGUGAAAUCCCCGGGCUUAACCUGGGAACUGCUUUCAAAACUGGUAAGCUAGAGUACGGUAGAGGGUAGUGGAAUUUCCUGUGUAGCGGUGAAAUGCGUAGAUAUAGGAAGGAACACCAGUGGCGAAGGCGACUACCUGGACUGAUACUGACACUGAGGUGCGAAAGCGUGGGGAGCAAAC
rnacentral:rRNA from 1 species